GUUAUAUCUGUGUAGGUGGUGUUCAGUACCAAGGACAGGUCUGUUCAUCUGUGUGGAUGUUGUUCAGCAUCAGAGCAGGUAUUGUGAUACU
rnacentral:pre_miRNA from 1 species